GAGUGGCGAACUGGUGAGUAACACGUGGGAAACCUGCCCAGAAGCGGGGGAUAACACCUGGAAACAGAUGCUAAUACCGCAUAACAACUUGGACCGCAUGGUCCGAGUUUGAAAGAUGGCUUCGGCUAUCACUUUUGGAUGGUCCCGCGGCGUAUUAGCUAGAUGGUGGGGUAACGGCUCACCAUGGCAAUGAUACGUAGCCGACCUGAGAGGGUAAUCGGCCACAUUGGGACUGAGACACGGCCCAAACUCCUACGGGAGGCAGCAGUAGGGAAUCUUCCACAAUGGACGAAAGUCUGAUGGAGCAACGCCGCGUGAGUGAAGAAGGGUUUCGGCUCGUAAAACUCUGUUGUUAAAGAAGAACAUAUCUGAGAGUAACUGUUCAGGUAUUGACGGUAUUUAACCAGAAAGCCACGGCUAACUACGUGCCAGCAGCCGCGGUAAUACGUAGGUGGCAAGCGUUGUCCGGAUUUAUUGGGCGUAAAGCGAGCGCAGGCGGUUUUUUAAGUCUGAUGUGAAAGCCUUCGGCUCAACCGAAGAAGUGCAUCGGAAACUGGGAAACUUGAGUGCAGAAGAGGACAGUGGAACUCCAUGUGUAGCGGUGAAAUGCGUAGAUAUAUGGAAGAACACCAGUGGCGAAGGCGGCUGUCUGGUCUGUAACUGACGCUGAGGCUCGAAAGUAUGGGUAGCAAACAGGAUUAGAUACCCUGGUAGUCCAUACCGUAAACGAUGAAUGCUAAGUGUUGGAGGGUUUCCGCCCUUCAGUGCUGCAGCUAACGCAUUAAGCAUUCCGCCUGGGGAGUACGGCCGCAAGGCUGAAACUCAAAGGAAUUGACGGGGGCCCGCACAAGCGGUGGAGCAUGUGGUUUAAUUCGAAGCUACGCGAAGAACCUUACCAGGUCUUGACAUACUAUGCAAAUCUAAGAGAUUAGACGUUCCCUUCGGGGACAUGGAUACAGGUGGUGCAUGGUUGUCGUCAGCCUGUGUCGUGAGAUGUUGGGUUAAGUCCCGCAACGAGCGCAACCCUUAUUAUCAGUUGCCAGCAUUAAGUUGGGCACUCUGGUGAGACUGCCGGUGACAAACCGGAGGAAGGUGGGGAUGACGUCAAAUCAUCAUGCCCCUUAUGACCUGGGCUACACACGUGCUACAAUGGAUGGUACAACGAGUUGCGAACUCGCGAGAGUAAGCUAAUCUCUUAAAGCCAUUCUCAGUUCGGAUUGUAGGCUGCAACUCGCCUACAUGAAGUCGGAAUCGCUAGUAAUCGCGGAUCAGCAUGCCGCGGUGAAUACGUUCCCGGGCCUUGUACACACCGCCCGUCACACCAUGAGAGUUUGUAACACCCAAAGU
rnacentral:rRNA from 1 species